UCUAUUUAUAAUUAGCAUAUUGAUCAAAUUCACUACAGGAAAAAGGUGGACUGAACGGAACUAUGUGAACUUGCUUCUAGUCGUGGCCGGAGGACGUGCAGUCUGCCGUUGACUCGUCGGAGGAAGGCGAAGAAGAUGGUGGCUGCGGUGAGUCCACCUUGGUGGUCGGAGAUCGAUGACGGAGGAAAGAGUCUUCCAGAUCCACUUUCUCUCUCCUCCAUCUCUCUCUCUGUGGAAAGGGGGUUGAUUUUCUUUAAUUUUGAUUCUAUGUAGUUUCUGGGUUUCGUUUUGGUUUCCCAAUUUGUCGAUUAAGUGUUAUCCCUAGUUAAUUUGCUUAUCUAGUUGUGCUUGGGUCUUUGUAGAUACUUGAUAGCUCAUGAACUAUGCUUGAGCCAACCAAGGCCUUGCCGAAUUGCAAUCUCCCAAGUCUCAUCUGGUUAAACCCAUUUGUUUUAUUAUUUAUUAACGUCUGGAAUAGCCUUUCCCCAAAAUUAUUAUUGGCUGCAUCACAGCCAGUGCAAUAUCAUCCCUUUCUCUAAAUUUGCUCUUUGCUAUGGUUUUCUUGAGAUUGAUUGCAUGCUUAACCCAGUUUCAAUUGGUUCAUUGAUGAGCUUCCUUUAAUAUACAGAUGUUGUAGGAGAUAUUAGUCGGUCUUAGUUUAUUGUUAAAUAUUUUGCUGCUAUCUUGUCAUAACUGUGUGAUGCAGUCAUUAUUUACUGCAUCAUUCUUUACACUAAAUGUUCUUUCUAUAUGCAUUAUAGGUCUAUUUCGUAUUGCACUAGAGUUACAAUGGCUCUAUUCUUGCUUGCUGUUAUAUUCAUGUAGAAGAAGAAGGAGAAGGUGGAGGCAACAACGAAAUCGAGGAUGGUUUCUUUAAUAUAAAGGCUUUAGGGAAGUAUUUGAAGGCUACGGAAGCAGAGGAAUAUGAGAAUGACAAGGAGGAUGAAGAAGAAGAUGGUGAAGAUGAGGAGGAAGAGGAUGAUGCCCAGGAGCUCAUGAAUCUAGGGGAAGGUGAGGACGACGGGGAUGGCAUGGAUGCAAGAUAUGAAGACUUCUUUGGGAAAAAGGAACUUUCUACUCACGAAAAGCAGCAACUGAAACUUAAGUCCGAAAUAGAGCAGAGGGAAAAAGCAAAUAUGGACCCCAAAACUUGGACCAUGCGGGGAGAGGUAACUGCAACAAAAAGGCCACCGAACAGUGCGUUAGAAGUUGAUCUAGAUUUUUAACACAAUGUUAGACCCGCCCCUCCAAUCACAGAGGAGGUUACAGUAGCAGUUGAGGAUAUGAUCCGGAAAAGGAUCAAGCAGGAACUUUUUGAUGAUGUUCAAAGGGCUCCUGCUUUACCUACUACAGCUCCAAGAGAAAGAAAGGAGAUGGAUGAGAGUAAGAGCAAGAAAGGUCUGGCUGAAGAUUAUGAGCAAGAGUAUUUGCAAAAGAUGAAUGCAGAUUCCGGCCCAUUGUCAUCCAAAGACAAGCAGAAGAAUGAGGUACAUGUUUUGAUUGCUGUUGUUUCUAUCUUUGCUACGAUUUUAUGUUUCUUUGUAAUACAUAGAACUUUAAUCUCCUUGUAUACACAAAUUUAUGCAUACCUUUAUGAAUAUCUUUUGAGGUUUUGUAUUAUGUGUUCAUCCUCCUCUGUCACAAAAGGGUAAUUAGAUUGUUAAGCAUAUCACGGUUGUACCAUUUAUAGGAGGUAUGCAUUUUCUAUAAACAAAAUUAUCUCUGAAAAGGAACUUGGGCACGCCACUCACAACUAACUAUCAGAAAGAGGACAAUGAGUGCAGCAUAAAGAGGAGUUUCACCAGCUAGGUGGGGUGUGGUUGCAAAGUUGCAAUGCCUUAACCAUUCUAUUGUGAUUCCAUCCUCAGCCAUCAAUGAUGUGUAUUGACAUGAAAUGCUUCAAACUGUUCCAGAUUCGCAGCUGAACUAAAAGUGUUAGUUUCACCUACCAUUAUCUAGUUUGAUGGUUGUGUUUUUGUCUACUUUGAGUUAGUCCUUAAAGCAUUUUGAUGUAUGCUCAUUCUUGGACAAGGAUUAUGUUGUUAAAGGGGGAAAAUCUUAGUGAUAUUCCACCUUCAACAACAAUGUAUACUAGGAAUGUAAAGAACAUCUUGCUAUGAAUGUAAAGUUUAUUCAUGUUCGAUUGA